CAGACGGGGGAAGCAGCGUGCACGGCGGUUCCAUAAGCGUUUUCGUCUGGUGCUGAAAGCUUGCUCCCUCACCCAUGCUAAUGCAAUCCAGCUGCGCGUUAGAUGAAAGGAGGAAAAGAGACUACAACACAAAUGGAAUUCAGUGUUUCUGCCAAAAUAAGGCACAACCUCAUUACGUGAGGUUUUUAACAUGCAGUGGUCACUUUUGUCUUAGAGUGAGGACCCGUGGAACACACGGUAAGUCUGAAAUCCUACUUUGUGGUUAUUCACGGCAUCAUCCUGCAGAGGAGGUGGUGGGAGAGGAGGACAGAAGACUAACCCAGGGCCCAUCUUCACGUGUGAAACACUUCUCUACUAGAAGAGGAUGGGUUCUGUUGCUUCUCAAAGAAGAGCUCUGCUUCAGGACAGGUAGCUGAAAGAGCUUCAGUCUCAACGGGCAACAACAGGACUCUGAGGAAAUUAUUGUGUUCUGGCUUCGAAAGGCUUUCAGGCUUCAAAAGCCACCUUCUGUUCUCCAAAGUUUUUGCUCUGCUUAUUUUUUUUCUCUUAAAUAAAGCUAAAAACUCAGUAUGACCUAUACUCCUUGGCCUGCAGGCAGGACUGCAAAUUAUGUAGGACAAAAAUAGUAUGUACACACUACCCAAAGAAGCAUGAGCUCAGUAAACCUUUUUGCUUCUGUAUGAAAUUUGGAUGUGCAAGUAGUCUAGGUAUAUUUGUUCAUAAUAAAUAAGCAAGCAAA